rnacentral:rRNA from 1 species
ACGGUCAAGGAUGGGCUCGCGGCCUAUCAGCUAGUUGGUGAGGUAACGGCUCACCAAGGCUUCGACGGGUAGCCGGCCUGAGAGGGCGACCGGCCACACUGGGACUGAGAUACGGCCCAG